CCCCUAUCGCUAUCGGCCGCGGCACCGCGCCCCGCAUUCGGGCUCACGCCCAUCUCCAUCCGCCGAUCCACCCAUCCAUCCAUCCCGCGACCGCCUCAAAACCCCACCACCCCGCUGCAGCCGGCGCCCCGUCCUCCCCGCCCGCCCGCCCGCGCGCACUCCUUCUCUCACUGCGUCACGCUCACCUGACCCACGGAAUGGCGUAUGCUGGCUCUGGCCGCACCGCCACGGCCGGAGCCGCGGCGCUGCUGCCGCUCGUGUUCCUGCUGCUGCAGGCCUCCGCGGGCGUGGGCGCGGGCGCUGACUGCCACUUCCCGGCCGUGUUCAACUUCGGGGACUCCAACUCGGACACGGGCGGGCUGUCGGCGGCCUUCGGCGCCGCGCCGCCGCCCAACGGCAGGACCUUCUUCGGCAUGCCCGCCGGCCGCUACUGCGACGGCCGCCUCGUCGUCGACUUCAUCGCUGAAAACCUGGGAAUACCUUACCUAAGUGCGUACCUCAACUCAAUAGGAAGCAACUUCUCGCAGGGGGCCAAUUUCGCAACGGCCGGCUCGACAAUCAGCCGACAGAACACAUCCCUGUUCCUCUCCGGAUUCAGCCCCAUCUCCUUGGACGUGCAGUCCUGGGAAUUCGAACAGUUCAUCAACAGAAGCCAGUUUGUUUACAACAACAAAGGUGGCAUCUAUAGGGAGCUCCUGCCAAAGGCGGAGUACUUCACCCAGGCGCUCUACACCUUCGACAUCGGCCAAAACGACCUCACUGCGGGCUACUUCGCAAACAUGACCACUGAUCAAGUCAUAGCGUCGAUUCCUGAACUCAUGGAGAGGAUCGCCUCAAUAAUCAAGAGUGUGCACGGGCUCGGAGGAAGAAACUUCUGGAUCCACAGCACAGGUCCUAUCGGCUGCCUGCCUUACGCCCUCAUUCACCGCCCCGACAUUGCCGCGGUAAAGGACAAUGUUGGCUGCUCUGUCACCUACAACAAGGUCGCGCAACUCUUCAAUCAGAGGCUGAAGGAAACCGUGGCCCGUCUCCGGAAAACCUACCCUGACGCCGCGUUCACCUACGUCGACGUCUACGCCGCCAAGUACAAGCUGAUCAGCCAAGCCAGCAAUCUAGGCUUCGACGACCCUCUGCUCACCUGCUGUGGGCACGAUGCUGGCCCGUACAACUUUGACCCGAAGGUUGGUUGCGGCGGGAAGGUGCUGGUGAAGGGGAAGUGGGUGGUUCUUGGAAAGUCCUGCGACGACCCGUCAAGAAGAGUGAGCUGGGACGGUAUUCACUUCACUGAGGCGGCGAACAAGUUUGUCUUUGAUCAGAUCGUCAGCGGCGGGCUCUCGGACCCGCCUGUGCCCCUAAGGCAGGCUUGCCGGAGCAAAGGGCAGUGAACUACAGGCGGGUCGUUGGUCAGGUUGGCCGCCCCGCCACUGCUCGUGCUGCUGGUGCUGAUUGCACUGUAAGUGUAUAAUGUGGAAGCACCCUUGAGUUAUACAGAACGUACCAGCUUCCUUUUGUGAUAGGGGGGAGAGGGGAAUGGGAAUGGAUCACACGGAAGAGCAACGCAAUGCAUAUAUCCUGUCUUCAGACAGUCUGUAAAAGUUCUUGGUAUAGACACUAACGCAGGGCUUGAGGGAGGGUGGAUACUUCGCUGAUGCUGGACGAGUGGACGGUUGCUGUUCGCUUUUGCAAGCCGAUCUAUUUUGGCCCAUAAAUUGUGAGCAACCUUUAAAAAAAUUGGAUAUUCAUUGUUUGACAGGAUAGUACAAAAAUCAUCAGAAAUAACAAAAAAUACAUUCAGGUCAAUAGACCACCUA